AUUUUCGGAUCGCAUGAUUUGAUUAUUAAAGUUCCAACGGUAAAAAGAUGAGUAUGCGUCCCAUUAGCUAGAUGGUAAGGUAACGGCUUACCAUGGCAAUGAUGGGUAGGGGUCCUGAGAGGGAGAUCCCCCCACACCGGUACUGAGACACGGACCAGACUCCUACGGGAGGCAGCAGUGAGGAAUAUUGGACAAUGGGCGCAAGCCUGAUCCAGCCAUGCCGCGUGCAGGAUGACGGUCCUAUGGAUUGUAAACUGCUUUUGUACAGGAAGAAACACUACUUCGUGAAGUAGCUUGACGGUACUGUAAGAAUAAGGAUCGGCUAACUCCGUG
rnacentral:rRNA from 1 species